GACGUAGGGCGCGAGCGUUGUCCGGAUUUAUUGGGCGUAAAGAGCUCGUAGGCGGCUUGUUGCGUCGGCUGUGAAAUCCCGUGGCUUAACUGCGGGCUUGCAGCUGAUACGGGCGGGCUGGAGUUCGGUAGGGGAGACUGGAAUUCCUGGUGUAGCGGUGAAAUGCGUAGAUAUCAGGAGGAACACCGAUGGCGAAGGCAGGUCUCUGGGCUGACACUGACGCUCAUGCACGAAAGCGUGGGGAGCAAACAGG
rnacentral:rRNA from 1 species